UUAAAAUAAAAAUGAAUGCUAAAUCUUAAAAGUUUUCUAACCUUAGACUUCAGGUUUACGUGAAAAUCUCGUUUUUUAUUCAUACAAAUGCACAUAAUCAAAAUCAAUAUUUUUACAAAUUUAGCAUGAUUUAAAAAACAAGGGAAAUUAACAGUCUUAUUCAACACAUGCAUAAACAAAAGUAAUAAAAAACAAGAAAAACAAGAAAAA
rnacentral:lncRNA from 1 species